rnacentral:rRNA from 1 species
UACAGAGGUCUCAGGCGUUGUUCGGAUUCAUUGGGCGUAAAGGGUGCGUAGGUGGCGCCGUAAGUCGGGUGUGAAAUUUCGGAGCUUAACUCCGAAACUGCAUUCGAUACUGCGGUGCUUGAGGACUGGAGAGGAGACUGGAAUUCAUGGUGUAGCAGUGAAAUGCGUAGAGAUCAUGAGGAAGACCAGUGGCGAAGGCGGCUGCCUGGACCGGCCCUGACGCUGAGGCGCGAAAGCUAGGGGAGCAAACAGG